AAACGGGUGGUAAAUUUCAUCUAAAGCUAAAUAUUGGCGGGAGACCGAUAGCGCACAAGUAGAGUGAUCGAAAGAUGAAAAGCACUUUGAAAAGAGAGUUAAACAGUACGUGAAAUUGUUGAAAGGGAAGCGCUUGCAAUCAGACUCGCUUUCGGUUGAUCAGCGACGCCUUCUGGCGCGUGCACUCUGCCGUUUGCGGGCCAGCAUCAGUUGGGGCGGCGGGACAAAGGCGGUGGGAAUGUGGCUCCCCUCGGGGAGUGUUAUAGCCCAUCGCGCCAUGCCGCCAGCCCCGACUGAGGUCCGCGGUUCGCCUAGGAUGCUGGCUUAAUGGUUGUAAGCGACCCGUCUUGAAACACGGACCAAGGAGUCUAACAUCUAUGCGAGUCUUUGGGUGUCAAACCCAUGGGCGGAAUGAAAGUGAACGGAGGUGGGAGUCCUCGGACGCACCAUCGACCGAUCCUGAUGUUCUCGGAUGGAUUUGAGUAGGAGCAUAGCUGUUGGGACCCGAAAGAUGGUGAACUAUGCCUGAAUAGGGUGAAGCCAGAGGAAACUCUGGUGGAGGCUCGCAGCGGUUC
rnacentral:rRNA from 1 species